rnacentral:rRNA from 1 species
UACGUAGGGUGCGAGCGUUGUCCGGAAUUAUUGGGCGUAAAGAGCUCGUAGGCGGUGUGUCACGUCGGCCGUGAAAACCUGCAGCUUAACUGUGGCGUGCGGUCGAUACGGGCAUCACUGGAGUUCGGCAGGGGAGACUGGAAUUCCUGGUGUAGCGGUGAAAUGCGUAGAUAUCAAGAGGAACACCUGAGGUGAAGACGGGUUGCUGGGCCGACACUGACGCUGAUGCGCGAAAGCCAGGGGAGCAAACGGG